rnacentral:rRNA from 1 species
AUGGGGUGCAGCAGGCGCGAACACUUUACAAUGCGGGAAACCGCGAUAAGGGAACCCCGAGUGCCAGUACUAAGUGCUGGCUGUCUAGAUGAAUAGAUAUCAUUUAAUAGCAAGGGCCGGGCAAGACCGGCGCCAGCCGCCGCGGUAACACCGGCGGCCCGAGUGGUAACCGAUAUUAUUGGGUCUAAAGGGUCCGUAGCCUGUUUAAUAAGUCCUUUGGGAAAUCUGGCAGCUUAACUGUCAGGCUGCUAAAGGAUACUGUUAAACUUGGGACCGGUAGACGUAGGGGGUACUCCAGGGGUAGGAGUGAAAUCUUGUAAUCCCUGGGGGACCAUCUGUGGCGAAGGCGCCCUACGAGAACGGGUCCGACGGUGGGGGACGAAAGCUAGGGGAGCAAACCGGAUUAGAUACCCGGGUAGUCCUAGCUGUAAACGAUGCUCGCUAGGUGUCAGGCACGGUGCGUCCGUGUCUGGUGCCGCAGGGAAGCCGUUAAGCGAGCCACCUGGGGAGUACGGUCGCAAGGCUGAAACUUAAAGGAAUUGGCGGGGGAGCACUACAACGGGUGGAGCCUGCGGUUUAAUUGGAUUCAACGCCGGAAAACUCACCGGGAGCGACAGCAAUAUGUAGGUCAGGCUGAAGGUCUUACCUGAAUCGCUGAGAGGAGGUGCAUGGCCGUCGUCAGUUCGUACUGUGAAGCAUCCUGUUAAGUCAGGCAACGAGCGAGACCCGCGCCCACAGUUGCCAGCAUGUUCUUCGGAACGAUGGGACCACUGUGGGGACCGCCGCUGCUAAAGCGGAGGAAGGAACGGGCUACGGUAGGUCAGUAUGCCCCGAAUCUCCCGGGCUACACGCGGGCUACAAUGGUUAGGACAAUGGGUACCUACCUCGAAAGGGGAUGGAAAUCUCUAAACCUAAUCGUAGUUCGGAUUGAGGGCUGCAACUCGCCCUCAUGAAGCUGGAAAUCCGCAGUAAUCGCGUUUCACAUAGCGCGGUGAAUACGUUCCCUGCUCAUGCACACACCGACUCGUCGAUCAAUGCUGAGUGAGGAUCUGGGAUGGAGGGUCCGUGUCCUGUUUAUGGA